rnacentral:rRNA from 1 species
UACGUAGGGGGCAAGCGUUAUCCGGAUUUACUGGGUGUAAAGGGAGCGUAGACGGAAAGGCAAGUCAGAAGUGAAAGCCCAAGGCUCAACCAUGGGACUGCUUUUGAAACUGUCAAACUAGAGUACGGGAGAGGUAAGAGGAAUUCCUAGUGUAGCGGUGAAAUGCGUAGAUAUUAGGAGGAACACCAGUGGCGAAGGCGUCUUACUGGACCGAAACUGACGUUGAGGCUCGAAAGCGUGGGGAGCAAACAGG